rnacentral:rRNA from 1 species
UUCGUUAACGAACGAGACCUUAACCUGCUAAAUAGCUAGGCUUAACUUUGUUAGGCCGUCAGCUUCUUAGAGGGACUAUCGGUGUUUAACCGAUGGAAGUUUGAGGCAAUAACAGGUCUGUGAUGCCCUUAGAUGUUCUGGGCCGCACGCGCGCUACGCUGAUGAAGUCAACGAGUUCACAUCCUUUGUCGGAAGACAUGGGUAAUCUUUUGAAACUUCACCGUGCUGGGGAUAGAGCAUUGCAACUAUUGCUCCUCAACGAGGAAUCCCUAGUAAGCACAAGUCAUCAGCUUGUGCUGAUUACGUCCCUGCCCUUUGUACACACCGCCCGUCGCUAUUACCGAUUGAAUGGUUC